AUGGUGUAGAACCGGGUGGUAUAGAACCGGGUGGUGUAGAACCAGGAGGUGUAGAACCGGGUGGUGUAGAACCAGGAGGUGUAGAACCGGGCGGUGUAGAACCGGGCGGUGUAGAACCGGGUGGUGUAGAACCGGGUGGUGUAGAACCGGGUGGUGUAGAACCAGGUGCUGUAGAACCAGGUGCUGUAGAACCAGGAGGUGUAGAACCAGGUGGUGUAGAACCGGGUGCUGUAGAACCAGGUGCUGUAGAACCAGGUGGUGUAGAUCUAGGUGGUGUAGAACCAGGUGGUGUAGAACCAGGUGGUGUAGAUCCGGGUGGAGUAGAUCUAGGUGGUGUAGAUCUAGGGGGUGUAGAACCAGCUGGUGUCUCUACCCUCCUGGUUCUAGUCAGAUCUCCAGCUGCAGCUUCUGGUCUCAUUUCUCUGGUCUCAGGUUUUAGUCUCUGGUUCUGAAUACUUUUGUUUUCUGGGAAUCAUAAAAGUGACUGACUGCGUUCUCUGUCCCGUCCCGGACAAUUAGCACUUUGGUACAUCUUUCCUUUUCCUGAUGUUCACUUUGGGGCGUCGGUGAACUCAUCUCGCCUUCCUCGAAGUCUGAAUGUGUUAGUAGAGCUGCUAUUGUCUGCGUCGUCAUGGUAACUGAUCUUAUUUCCUGCUAUAGCCUGAGCCAGUGGGAGCAUAUAGAUAUAGAACCAGGGGGCACCUAGGAUGGAGCCUUGGGGAACGCCACAUGUGACCUCUGACCUCUUGAUGAGAAGUUUCCUGUUGAAACAGAGAAAUCCCAGUUCUUCAUGUUGGACUGGAACCAGCUGAGUUCUGGACCGGAGAGUCCGACCCAGCUCUCCAGUUGGUUCAGUGACAUGAUCAACACUGAGGUCCACCAGAACCAGGACCAGAACCAGCUCUAUGGUUCUUCCAUGUUGAUGGUUAACAGUUUAAUCUGAGGAACAUUUUGGGCCCGUCUUGAUCCAGAACCAGAACUCUUGAGUCAGCAGAACCCACACACGAUUCUGUUUCAGGACCCAGUUCCUGGCAGUAUGGUCCAAGGGAACCGGUUCUUUUCGGAUCAGCAGUUAGUUUCGGUCCAUCACGUCCUCUGCCUUUGCUUCACGCGCGCAUGUCUGUUCAGGUGUCGGAUCCGGCGCCUCAGCAGACUUUCCCACGGUCUCCAGGGCAACCACCUUCUCCUUCCGGGCGGGCACGCGCCGCACGCAUCAGGUUCUCACCUCAACAAAACCUCCUCCCUGCGGGUCAUUUGCGCGCGUGCGAACCAAACGACGCAGUGAUCAAUAGUUUUCACACCCGCAGAAAGAAGGAGGUGAGAAAACAGGAUGAAAGGACCAACAGCCAAUCACAGAGCAGGACGUGAGCAUUGUAACUUCUCCCAUCAAAGCGCCGCUGAGGUUCGCAGCACGCGCUGAAAGCGUCACAUCGAUCCGCAGAUGGCACGCGAUCGAAUAUGCGCAAAUGAUCAGUCUGGCGGCGCGUGCGCGCUGCUCUAUCUGUCCCCGGGGAGAGCUGCACGCGCCCUGCCGUCACUCAUCAUGAUGGAGGCGCGUGCGUGUGAGCGCCUCGUGCCGUGGCACGCGCCGCUUUCUGUGGUAACAGAUGGACAAGAAGUAGGUUUGUGAGCAUGCGCACACGCUGGGCUUACCUGUCUGCGGCUCACCUGGCCCCACACACUCGGCGGUUCUGGUUUCAGCCCAGAAAGGUUCUGUUAGAACCAGAACCAGCUGCAGGUUCUGGACUGAAUCUUAGUUCUACACAGUUCGGUCCAGGUGAGAGCAGACAGAACCUCCUGACAUCAGAACCAGGUUCCGGUUCUGCAUCCAGAGAGGAACGGCUACAGAACCAGAACCGGUCCACUCGGCGCUGACCUCCAGAACCAGAACUCUGUUGUCAGUUCUGUUGGGUCGGCUGAUCAGAUGAGAGCUGCUUCCUGAUUGGCUGCCUGGACAAGUUCGGUUCUGGAGCCAUUCAGAACAUCACGGGUCCAAACGGAACCACAGUCUUCAGAAUUGUCUCUGUCUUUUGUUGACUGUGAAGUGAUUCAGAACCAGAAGGUUGAUGACCUGGAAGCAGGUCGGGUUCUGGGUCGGUCCGGACCGAACCUGUAGAGCUUUUAUUUUAAUAGCAGCGGGUUUCCAAGAUCCAAGGUUUCCGAUUGUUCAGGUUCGGCAGGUUCGGCUCAGAACCCUCCUUCCUCUUUCUUCUUCUCUGAAAUGUUCUGAACAUCAGAACAGGAGAUCCAUCAUGUCUGCUGGAUCGGAACCGAACUCCCCUGGUUCAGGAACCCCCCGUCCCUCCUCCCCCUCCGGCUCCUCCUCCUGCCCCUUUAUAAAGCGGAGUUGAGAGCGCAGCUGCCGCAGUCCAGAGUUCAAACAGCCGCACUUCAGUUUCUUUUCAGCGCAGAAAGUAGAUUAGACCUGAAGACCGCUUCUUCUUCUUCUGGUACUUUUUCUGCUUUUCCUUCUUCUUCUGGUACUUUUUCUGCUUUUCCUUCUUCUUCUCUUCCCGCUGCGGUUCGGGUUUUGUUCCUCCGCAGUAUUUUUGUUUUAUUUUUGGCGCAGAUCAGCGAGCAUCGGGCCGGCAACGCUCCAACAUGUUGCGGUUGUUCCUGCUCCUGCUGGCGGUGCCGGUCCGGACGGUGAGUGGCUCCCACAGGUUCUGACGGGCCGGACCUGGAGUCCCGCUCCUUUACGCACAGAGACUGAAGUUUCCCUCACUGCCUCCCCCCCCCCCCCAGGUUCUUCCCCCCAAGGCCGGGUUCGGC